ACACCGGCAGCUCAAGUGGUGGCCGUUUUUGUUGGGCCUAAAGCGUUCGUAGCCGGCCUGAUAAGUCUCUGGUGAAAUCCCGCAGCUUAACUGUGGGAAUUGCUGGAGAUACUAUCAGGCUUGAGGUCGGGAGAGGUUAGAGGUACUCCCAGGGUAGGGGUGAAAUCCUAUAAUCCUGGGAGGACCACCUGUGGCGAAGGCGUCUAACUGGAACGAACCUGACGGUGAGUAACGAAAGCCAGGGGCGCGAACCGGAUUAGAUACCCGGGUAGUCCUGGCCGUAAACGAUGUGGACUUGGUGUUGGGAUGGCCUCGAGCCGCCCCAGUGCCGAAGGGAAGCUGUUAAGUCCACCGCCUGGGGAGUACGGUCGCAAGACUGAA
rnacentral:rRNA from 1 species